UGCACAAAGGCAUGGUCCUGACCUUAUUAUUAGCUUUAACCCAACUUACACAUGCAAGUCUCCGCAGCCCCGUGAGUAUGCCCUUAAUCCCCUGCCCGGGGACGAGGAGCGGGCAUCAGGCACAAAUUUUUAGCCCAAGACGCCUGGCCAAGCCACACCCCCAAGGGAAUUCAGCAGUGAUAAAUAUUAAGCCAUAAGUGAAAACUUGACUCAGUCAGGGUUAAAAGGGCCGGUAAAACUCGUGCCAGCCACCGCGGUUAAACGAGAGGCCCCAGUUAAUAAUACACGGCGUAAAGGGUGGUUAAGGAAAGCAUGGUAAUAAAGCCGAAUGGCCCUUUGGCUGUCAUACGCUUCUAGGUGUCCGAAGCCCAAAAUACGAAAGUAACUUUAGUAAAACCCACCUGACCCCACGAAAGCUGAGAAACAAACUGGGAUUAGAUACCCCACUAUGCUCAGCCGUAAACCCAGACGUCCAGCUACAAUUAGACGUCCGCCCGGGUACUACGAGCAUUAGCUUGAAACCCAAAGGACCUGACGGUGCCUUAGACCCCCCUAGAGGAGCCUGUUCUAGAACCGAUAACCCUCGUUAAACCUCACCACUUCUAGCCACCCCAGCCUAUAUACCGCCGUCGUCAGCUUACCCUGUGAAGGAAAUAAAAGUAAGCAAGAUGGGCACAGCCCAGAACGUCAGGUCGAGGUGUAGCGUACGAAGCGGGAAGAAAUGGGCUACAUUUUCUACAAUAGAACACUACGGACAUGCAACAUGAAAUAGUGCUUGAAGGAGGAUUUAGUAGUAAAAAGGAAGCAGAGUGUCCUUUUGAACCCGGCUCUGAGGCGCGUACACACCGCCCGUCACUCUCCCCUGUCAAAAUGCAGUAAAGUUACCUAACACUAAAGCACUGACAAGGGGAGGCAAGUCGUAACAUGGUAAGUGUACCGGAAGGUGCACUUGGAUUAAAUUCAGGGCGUGGCUGAGUUAGUUAAGCAUCUCACUUACACCGAGAAGACAUCCAUGCAAAUUGGAUCACCCUGAGCCAACCAGCUAGCUUGAUUAUUAAUAUAAUUUAACAAUAUUCAUAACAAAACAUGGCUUAACAUUACAAACUAAACCAUUUUUUUGCCUAAGUACGGGAGACGGAAAAGGU
rnacentral:ncRNA from 1 species